AUGAACCUCUGCCUUCUUCUAAAACACCUCUCCAAACUUCAUGACUCUGGAACCACCGAACCUACUAGCUACUUCAUCUCAAACUAUGGGUGGACUCCUGCGCGGGACUUGGGUAAUUGCAGCCCCAUGAUUACUCCAGUAUGGCGCGAUAUUUUCAAAGGUUUGGACUUCUUCCGCUCGAUCACUAGAGUCUCUGUUGGAAACGGCAUUACCACAUCCUUCUGGUAUGACCUGUGGCUCCCCAAUGACAACAUUCCCCUCUCACAACAAUUCACGGCUCUGUUCUCCCACACCAAUAGGCCGACGGCCUCGGUCGCGUGGGUGCUGGAUUCUCCGCAGCUGAACCUUGACCUUACACCCCGGCUAUCGUAUGUAGCAGAGAACGAUCUAGCUAACCUACGCGCUAUUUUGGCAACGAUAAACUUGAAUAUGCAGGUGACCGACAUGAGGACUGACAGGUGGGAUGGUAAGCCGCUAACCAACCGCAGGGCCUACAUGGCACUCUGGUCGGCAGCCCCGGCUGACCCUCUUGCAACCCCUCUCUGGAAGAACUAUUCACCAAACAAAUGUAGGAUGUUGGUCUGGCUUGCACAUAAAGAUCGUGUGUUUACCAACGAGAGACGGUUCAAACACUCCAUUGCAACCUCGGAUCAGUGCCCUUUCUGUGAUGGCCGAGAGAGCAUUGAUCACCUGCUGUUCCAGUGUCAUCUGCUCCGACCACUCUGGGACGAACUUCAGAGUCUUCACUUCGGGAGCCCACACUCUUUGCUGGAUAUUUGGAAUACUGACGGGGCUAAUAAAGUUCGGUCCACCGUCAUUAUAGCUCUUCUUUGGAACAUUUGGAAACGGCGGAACGCGAAAGUAUUCCGCAAUGACACUCUGGGGGUUUACCACAUUGCUCGCUCGGCUGCGGAUGAUUUGAUGCUGUGGUCCCACAGAUGUAAAAAUGUUCAGAAGCAAAACCUGCUCCGAGACUGGAGCUCUAUGUUGUUUCAUUUAGCUGGGAGAAUAUAG
rnacentral:rRNA from 1 species